GGUCGUGUGACAAGUUCCUGGGCACUCCCUCCUCAUGCAUACGGUAAUGAGGGAGGGGCCCAGCAGGAAGGAUAAAAAGGGUACACACCCAGGUACUGAUAGCUCAUUCUGGAGGCCUCAACUUAUGCAACUUAUGUUGGGGGAUGGGCUCAGGCCUUUCAAACUCUUGCCUCAGAGGACACAACAGAUCACUCGAAUUUAGCAGAGAAGAAUCAGAAGAUGCUUUCGAACUUCUCGAAGUUCUGUCCAGCCUGCAACCUGAACAGAACAGCAGGUGUUGCUUAUGAUACAUAUUAUUAUAUUAACAGUGUUUGGCUGCUAAUAUCAUGGAAACUAAUAAAAAAUAAUUAUUAAUGUAAA